rnacentral:lncRNA from 10 species
UUCCCAAAUGGUCCCCAGCUUCCCCGUUCACUGAAGGCCCUGCAGUCGGGAACAGUCAGGACUUUGCACCCAGUUGUUGUGGGUGUUUGGCCAACCCUUCCUCUUGUGUGAUUCAUGGACCUGCAGCAUUGCGUCACCUGUGAGCUUUUGGAAUUGAAGACUCUCAGGGCUCACCCGGGAGGACCUGCUGGGCCAGAAUCUGCAUUUUAACAAGAUGCCUGGGUGAUCUGCAUACACGUUCAGAUCUGAGAAGUGCUGAGAACAUGUGCCCAUGUCUGGAGAGUUUUGGUUGUUGCAGCUGGAGGAGGUGGUGCUACUGGCAUCUAAUGGGUAGAGGCCACGGAUGCUGCUAAACAUCCUACAAUGCCCCGGACAACUCCCACUAAGACAAAGUAAUGAUCCAGCCCCAAAUGUCAAUAGUGCUGAAAGUGAGAGACCCUGAUUCCAUCUUAGAGCUUAGAGAUCAUCCAAGCACAUUUGGCCAAAUUGUUUUUGCUACUGUCCCAUGAAAAAAAGACAGACUCAUGACUGAUGGCAACAUCGAUGGGAAUUUUGUUUACCUCUUCUUGGUGGACUUUGGGAUACCAUCACUUACCAUUUAUGCAAGUUGUACAUUGCACACCUCCAGGGGGCGCCACCCACAUAUUUAUGAAAAUGCCGCCCCAGGAAUUGCACAGUACACAGUCUGUGGCUUAUGGCUAUAAGCAGUUGCU